UCGCUCGAUCAGAGCUCGAGAAGCAUUUCUAUUUGCACUGAGCAAGAAAAAUGCCUGAAAGGCCAUUUCGUAGGAAAAUCGCUCCAUCCCCAACCCACAAAGGAGGCCAAGCCUGUACGUUUCCUCGCCUCCCUCUGUGACUCUAGUCGAGACUCAUGCAUGCCCUGGGCUAGGAAUGCACUUGCUGCCCUCCCUGGCACCCGCUCACCGGUGCUCCGACGGCGCUAGGCCUGCUCCGGCAACAGAUCCUGAGGACUCUCUUUAUCCGCAACCGGAUCUCCUCAUCCCAUGGCAGCAAUUGUAAAAGGAGGCGACACAGUGGCUCGUCUCCAUCCUCUCCGAGCAAGCAACAGAUAGAAGGGGUGAAGGAGGAGAAGAAGAGAGAGAUGAGUUGGAUGGAGAGAGAGAGAGUGCUCUCCUAACAAUUUGAGCCUGCGUCCGCUACGGAUGACAGACAGAAGUUGGAUGUACCUCGAGACCCGGACUUGUAUAGAGUACCUGAGCGGGGUGAAGCAUUUCAUGAGUGCUGCCUUGGCGGAUAUAAAAGAUCGUGGUAUAACGGUAACAUACCAGAACAGUGGUGUCCGUAUAGAAGAUUAUGAUAACGACAUGCAGAGGGGCACAUACUAUGGUAAAUAGAGGAGAUCUGGGAGCUGAACUACUUGGGAUUCAAGGUAGCCCUGUUUCAGUGUCGUUGUGUAAGUGGGGCAAAGGGCGUCACUAAUGACAAAUAUGGGUUCACUAGUGUUGAUCUCACACAUGUCGGAUACAAGUCUAAACCCUUUGUACUCGCUAAAGAUGUUCGCCAAGUCUUUUAUAUGACUGACACAACAAAGAAGAAAUUCCAUGUGGUUCUCGCUGGGAAAAGACGCAUCGUCGGAGUUGCAAACGUCGUUGAUGAGGAGGGAUUCAAUCAAUUCGAUGAAAUCCCCCCUUCUGCUACUGCAGUCGUGCCACGCCUUUCACCGAUCGAGGAAACUCCAUACAUCCGGCCCGACCAUAACGAAGGGAUCCAUGUCAAGAAAGCGCAAAAAUGACGAAUUUUAAUUUCAGUGUGAAAUUUGUAAUAUUAAUGUCAAAUUUGUA